rnacentral:rRNA from 1 species
AAUAUUGCACAAUGGGGGAAACCCUGAUGCAGCGACGCCGCGUGAGCGAAGAAGGCCUUCGGGUCGUACAGCCUUGUCUUAAGGGAAGAAACGCACGGUACCUUAGGAGGAAGCCCCGGCUAACUACGUGCCAGGAUCCGCGGUAAUACGUAGGGGUCGAGCGUUGUCCGGAAUUACUGGGCGUAAAGGGUGCGUAGGCGGCCUGAUAAGUCAGAUGUGAAAUACCACGGCUUAACCGUGGGGGUGCAUUUGAAACUGUUGGGCUUGAGUGCAGGAGAGGAAAGCGGAAUUCCUAGUGUAGCGGUGAAAUGCGUAGAGAUUAGGAGGAACACCAGUGGCGAAGGCGGCUUUCUGGACUGUAACUGACGCUGAGGCACGAAAGCGUGGGUAGCGAAC